rnacentral:tRNA from 1 species
GGCGUGGUAGCUCAGUUGGUCAGAGCGCAGGAUUCAUAACCCUGAGGUCGGGAGUUCAAGUCUCCCUCACGCUACNA